GAAGUGAGUAAGUACAAGUGUGCUCGUGAUUCGUGUUACAGUAGCCGGGAUAAAGGGUCACGAUCCCACGAGUUUGAACUAAUUCCAAAAUCCCAUCCUCAAUUCAAAUUGCAGGCUGCAACUUGCCUGCAUGAAGUCGAAAUUAAUAGUAAUCACCGAUCAAUCAUACGGUGGUGAAUUCGUUCUUGAACUUUAUAC
rnacentral:rRNA from 1 species